rnacentral:rRNA from 1 species
UUGGAGGGCAAGUCUGGUGCCAGCAGCCGCGGUAAUUCCAGCUCCAAUAGCGUAUAUUAAAGUUGUUGCAGUUAAAAAGCUCGUAGUUGAAUUUCGGGGUCAGUAGGUCGGUCGUGCCACUGGUAUGAACUGGUUUUACUGAUUCCUCCCUCUUGAAGAACUGUAAUGCCAUUAAUUUGGUGUUGCAGGGAAACAGGACUGUUACUUUGAAAAAAUUAGAGUGUUUAAAGCAGGCUUUAGCUUGAAUACAUUAGCAUGGAAUAAUGAAAUAGGACGUUUGAUCCUAUUUUGUUGGUUCCUAGGAUUGACGUAAUGAUUAAUAGGGAUAGUUGGGGGCAUUAGUAUUCAAUUGUCAGAGGUGAAAUUCUUGGAUUUAUUGAAGACUAACUACUGCGAAAGCAUUUGCCAAGGAUGUUUUCAUUAAUCAAGAACGAAAGUUAGGGGAUCGAAGACGAUCAGAUACCGUCGUAGUCUUAACCAUAAACUAUGCCGACUAGGGAUCGGAUGAUGUUAAUUUUUUAAUGACUCAUUCGGCGCCUUACGGGAAAC